rnacentral:rRNA from 1 species
AUAUCAAUAAGCGGAGGAAAAGAAACCAACCGGGAUUGCCUCAGUAACGGCGAGUGAAGCGGCAACAGCUCAAAUUUGAAAUCUGGCUCCUCGCGGGGCCCGAGUUGUAAUUUGUAGAGGAUGCUUCGGGCAAGGCUGCGGUCUAAUCUGCUUGGAACAGCGAGUCACAGAGGGUGAGAGUCCCGUCUAGGACCGCACGCCGCGUCCAUGUGAAGCUCCUUCGACGAGUCGAGUUGUUUGGGAAUGCAGCUCUAAAUGGGUGGUAAAUUUCAUCUAAAGCUAAAUACUGGCCAGAGACCGAUAGCGCACAAGUAGAGUGAUCGAAAGAUGAAAAGCACUUUGAAAAGAGAGUUAAACAGUAUGUGAAAUUGUUGAAAGGGAAGCGCUUGCAACCAGACUUGCGUGUGACGGUUCCCCCCACCUUCUGGUGGGGCUGCUCCGUCAUCUCCAGGCCAGCAUCGGUUCGGGUGGUCGGUCAAAGACCCCGGGAAUGUAUCUACCUCCGGGUCGACUUAUAGCCCGGGGUGCAAUGCGGCCCACCCGGACCGAGGAACGCGCUUCGGCCCGGAUGCUGGCGUAAUGGUUGCAAGCGGCCCGUCUUGAAACACGGACCAAGGAGUCUAACAUCUAUGCGAGUGUUUGGGUGUCAAACCCCUACGCGUAAUGAAAGUGAACGGAGGUAAGAGCCCCGCACGGGGCGCAUUAUCGACCGAUCCUGAUGUCUUCGGAUGGAUUUGAGUAAGAGCAUAGCUGUUGGGACCCGAAAGAUGGUGAACUAUGCCUGAAUAGGGUGAAGCCAGAGGAAACUCUGGUGGAGGCUCGCAGCGGUUCUGACGUGCAAAUCGAUCGUCAAAUUUGGGCAUAGGGGCGAAAGACCAAUCGAACCAUCUGGUAGCUGGUUCCUGUCGAAGUUUCCCUCAGGAUAGCAGUAACGUUUUCAGUUUUAUGAGGUAAAGCGAAUGAUUAGAGGCCUUGGGGUUGAAACAACCUUAACCUAUUCUCAAACUUUAAAUAUGUAAGAAGUCCUUGUUGCUCAAUUGAACGUGGACAUUCGAAUGUAUCGUUACUAGUGGGCCAUUUUUGGUAAGCAGAACUGGCGAUGCGGGAUGAACCGAACGUGAGGUUAAGGUGCCGGAAUGUACGCUCAUCAGACACCACAAAAGGUGUCAAUGCAUCCAGACAGCCGGACGGUGGCCAUGGAAGUCGGAAUCCGCUUAGGAGUGUGUAACAACUCACCGGCCGAAUGCAUUGGCCCUGAAAAUGGAUGGCGCUUAAGCGUGCUACCUAUACCUCGCCGUUGGGGUUGAAAUGAUGCCCCAACGAGUAGGCAGGCGUGGGGGUUCGUGACGAAGCCUUUGGGGUGACCCUGGGUCGAACGACCUCUAGUG